UACGUAGGGGGCUAGCGUUGUCCGGAAUCAUUGGGCGUAAAGCGCGUGUAGGCGGUCCGGUAAGUCCGCUGUGAAAGUCGAGGGCUCAACCCUCGAAUGCCGGUGGAUACUGUCGGGCUAGAGUACGGAAGAGGCGAGUGGAAUUCCUGGUGUAGCGGUGAAAUGCGCAGAUAUCAGGAGGAACACCGAUGGCGAAGGCAGGUCUCUGGGCCAUAACUGACGCUGAGAAGCGAAAGCAUGGGGAGCGAACAGG
rnacentral:rRNA from 1 species